rnacentral:rRNA from 1 species
UGCGUAGGCGGUCCUGUAAGUAUGGUGUGAAAUCUCCCGGCUUAACUGGGAGGGUGCGCUAUAGACUGCGGGACUCGAGUGUGGGAGAGGAAAGUGGAAUUCCUGGUGUAGCGGUGAAAUGCGUAGAUAUCAGGAGGAACACCGGUGGUGUAAACGGCUUUCUGGACCAUAACUGACGCUGAGGCACGAAAGCGUGGGUAGCAAACAGGAUUAGAUACCCUGGUAGUCCACGCCCUAAACGAUGCAUAUUUGGUGUGGGUCAUUCAGUUGAUCCGUGCCGGAGCUAACGCGUUAAAUAUGCCGCCUGGGGAGUACAGUCGCAAGGCUGAA